CUGGUUUCCUGUUCCUACCGAAAAGAUGACCAAAGCUUCAGGCAACCACAGUCCGCAAUGCAGAACAACAUGGUGGCGAGGAUGACCACCCCUUCUCCCAGUGACCAGUGCUGAUUUUACUUAUACUAGAGGCUCAGGCUCAAGGGAAUCCAAACGCUGUAUUAUCUAUAAAG